GGGCACAACCCCGAGCUGGUUGCACUAACACACAGGCUGGGGGAAAUGAGUACACUGGCCAGUGUUGGGAUCAGGGAGGAGAGAUUCUGUGUGUUCUGGGGUGCCGAUGAGCAGAAGCUGGCUGCUCUGGGGGUUGACAUUUCUCAGUGGGGCCACGCGAUUCUUCACUGCAUGGGACAGAUCCAGGACUGCAAAACAACAGCACCUCAGUCAUUGUCACAACCAGCGUGUCGCCCCAUUCCACAUGCCCCUUGGGGGCAAGGAAGACAGUAAUCAACUGAACCUCAAAAUCUCUAAAACUCCAUCAUGGGAGACGUGGGACUUCUCCUUCUGGUCCACUCAUUUUGAUGAAAGAAUUUCAAGAAAGGCCUUUCCCUUGCAAUGGGAACAUCUUGGCUUCCUGCUGCCUUUCCAGGAUCAGGUCACCACUUCAGGUCUCAUCUACAGGAGUGACAUGUUAGGAGGAAAUAUUCCCUGGGCAGCUUUUGGAUGACUUUUUAAUCACUUGUGCCUCUACACCUUGAAAGAUGGAAAAAUGAGGAAUUUCUUUUCAAGUGGGCUGUUUAUGUUCCUGCCAAAUUAUUAUGUUUCUGCUUCUAGCUUUCACUAAUGGUAGGUCUUGAUGUACAAUGUCCACGGACAGCCUGGGGCACGAGAAUGGCCUCUCUCGACUCUGACGGGGCUUCCCCAAGGCCCUCUGUGUCCUCUCUGGGACCCAGGCACAGGGCUCCCUUCACGCUUCUUUCCUUUGGGGGAAUGGUUAGGUAUGAAAUUUAAUCAUUUUGGGCUGCUAGCCUAAGGUUGUUAAGCAGCACAUGUUGAUCAUAGGAGUAAUUACUAAGGGCUGCAUACCCCAGAAUGAUUUAUAACCUGCGAUCUAAAGCAAAAAAAAAAAAAAAAAAAUUCUCACUUGUCAGAUCUCUUUCUUCCCUCGCCCUGCUCCAAAUGUGCUGAUGAUAAUUAAUCCACUUCUGAGCACCUCAUCUGCCAUGAGGUGUCUCCUCCUGCCCCUGCUGGAAGAUACCUCUAUAGAUCUACACAUAGAGUGGGCUCCAUGUACUAAAUCCACACAAAGGGCCAUCCCGCCCUUCUCAGCUCACAUUUUAUAACGCUCAGUCU
rnacentral:lncRNA from 1 species